rnacentral:tRNA from 1 species
AUUAGGGUGGCAGAGCCAGGUACAUGCAAAAGACCUAAGAUCUUUACAUCAGGUGUUCAAAUCAUCUUCCUAAUA